rnacentral:rRNA from 1 species
UUUCGUGCCUUCGGGAACUCUGAGACAGGUGCUGCAUGGCUGUCGUCAGCUCGUGUUGUGAAAUGUUGGGUUAAGUCCCGUAACGAGCGCAACCCUUGUCCUUAUUUGCCAGCACAUAAUGGUGGGAACUCUAAGGAGACUGCCGGUGACAAACCGGAGGAAGGUGGGGACGACGUCAAGUCAUCAUGGCCCUUACGAGUCGGGCUACACACGUGCUACAAUGGCCGGUACAGAGGGCCGCGAACCUGCGAAGGUAUGCUAAUCUCAUAAAACCGGUCGUAGUCCGGAUUGGAGUCUGCAACUCGACUCCAUGAAGUCGGAAUCGCUAGUAAUCGUGGAUCAGAAUGCCACGGUGAAUACGUUCCCGGGCCUU